rnacentral:tRNA from 3 species
GGGCCUGUAGCUCAGUUGGUAGAGCACCGCGUUUACACCGCGGUUGUCGUCGGUUCGAGGCCGGCCGGGCCCA